CCUACGGGAGGCUGCAGUAGGGAAUCUUCCACAAUGGACGAAAGUCUGAUGGAGCAACGCCGCGUGAGUGAAGAAGGGUUUCGGCUCGUAAAGCUCUGUUGGUAGUGAAGAAAGAUAGAGGUAGUAACUGGCCUUUAUUUGACGGUAAUUACUUAGAAAGUCACGGCUAACUACGUGCCAGCAGCCGCGGUAAUACGUAGGUGGCAAGCGUUGUCCGGAUUUAUUGGGCGUAAAGCGAGUGCAGGUGGUUCUAUAAGUCUGAUGUGAAAGCCUUCGGCUCAACCGGUAAAUUGCAUGAGAAACUGUAGAACUGGAGUGCGGAUGAGGUAGGUGGAACGCGUGGUGUAGCGGUGAAAUGCAUAGAUAUAAGGAAGAACACCGAUGGCGAAGGCAGCUCACUAGGCUACAACUGACACUGAGGCACGAAAGCGUGGGGAGCAAACAGGAUUAGAUACCCUGGUAGUC
rnacentral:rRNA from 1 species